rnacentral:rRNA from 1 species
UACGAAGGGGGCUAGCGUUGCUCGGAAUCACUGGGCGUAAAGCGCACGUAGGCGGCUUGUUAAGUCAGGGGUGAAAUCCUGGAGCUCAACUCCAGAACUGCCUUUGAUACUGGCGAGCUUGAGUCCGGGAGAGGUGAGUGGAACUGCGAGUGUAGAGGUGAAAUUCGUAGAUAUUCGCAAGAACACCAGUGGCGAAGGCGGCUCACUGGCCCGGUACUGACGCUGAGACGCGAAAGCCAGGGGAGCAAACGGG